AGGUCAGCUAAAGAAAGCAAAAGUUUUCCUGUACUGUCUCUCUGAGCAUCUCAGCCCUAAUCUGAAGGCACCACCAUCUAGUGGGAUAAGAAGACAACGCACACAUCUGCAGCUGUUAUCCUAAGAUGCCUCCUUGUGUUCAGGUCUCAUUGAUCUUGUUACAGCCUUUCACAUAGAUGGGGAUAAUUGAUUUACAUCAUUCAGGAGCACAUAUCUUCUAUGAGCAUGAGGGAUGAUGUGACAUACAUAGAUAAUCUACAAAGAAAUAUGUGAUCUUCUGUAAAACUGGCUUUUUAUACUUUAACUUCAUUGACUUUCUGAUGGAAUUACUGGUGACUUGUGGAGUCAUAAAGAUGAUCAGGCCGUGAGUUCAUAGGACAGGUUGAAACACCUGUGAUCAUUACUAUUUAAUGCACAACCCUCCUGUAGUUUGAGUUUUUAAAAAUUAUCCUUACCCACAUUUAUAAUGCUGAUACCUUUCAGUACCUCAUGACACCCCUACUAAUAUCUUUCUUGU